rnacentral:lncRNA from 1 species
AGAAUAUUCCCCGACUUGCUGGAGUUAUUUAUUUACGAUUGAUUUAACAUGGACUGAAACAGAUUAUCCGCAAUUAAAUUAAAUCGAAGAAAUUGGUACGACGUAUUCAACCCCCCCCUUCUACGUCUGAUUGGACCUAACAAUUGGUAUCAGAGCUUAGCUGAUCGAUAUACAGAUCUGAGAUCCGUAACCAAUCUGAAAAGCUAGCUGUCCGUACAAUCGUAAUUUUAUCUGAUAACAAUGUCGACACACAAGUUAGGAAUCAAAGUACCUCCAUUUGACAAGGAUGAC